GAGCAUACUACUCUGCAGUAGGUACUCAAGUCUGGACAAGAUGUUAUUCAAAAACACAAUUUUCAGUUUUGUUUGCUAUACGAGGUCAAAAUAUUGUAUGUGUGACUUCCUUUUCAUUAUACCGAACACAGAUCUAGCAGGACAUAACUCUCCCUUUCUUGAAAAUGCUUCCCUUUCUCUAGUCACUGGGGACUUUGCCUGACAGCCAUGAUUUUUCAAAUACUUUGGAGAGUGACUUGGCAACCAUAUCAGCCAGUUCCUUUAGAACCCUGGGAUUCACACUGUCUGACUCCAUAAACUUAGAAUCAUAGAGUCAUAGAAUGGCUUGGGUUGGAAGGGACCUCAAGGACCAUUAAAUUCCAUCCUUCUGUACAUUCAGCCUCAUGAAGUGGUCUCAGACUUGUUCCACUCUUAUGCUGGGAGGGAUUUUGCUCCCCUAACUGCCAUUAGAAGUUCAGGGACAUGAGAGGUUUGAGAAACCUGACUGGCAACGAAGACUGAAGCAAAGAACUCAUUAAGUACCUCAGUCUUCUCCAUGUCUGUUUUAGCCAGUUCUCUCUUUUCAUUUACCAGCAAGAUUAAACUUUCCUUUGCCUGUCUCUUCUGUCCAGUGUAUCUAAAGAAUCCCUUGCUGUUUUCCACAUCCCUUGCCAAGUUCAAUCCAUCUGCACCUUGGUUUUCCUGACUCCAUCUCUGUACAUCCAGACAGAAUGCCUCUAUUCUUCCCAGGCCACUCAUCCCUGCUUCCAUAGCUUACACUUUUCUUUCUCUCAGCCUGACCAGCAGGUUCUUGCUCAGCCAUCCUGGUUUCCUGCCUUGUCUGCCUGAUUUCUAAUUCUAGGGGAUGGAGAGCUCAUGUUCUCAGAAAGGCAUCCUUAAUGUGCUGCCAGCUCUCUGUUUCUUUGUCCCAAAGGACAGUUUCCCAGGGGAUCUAUUCCAACAAAUCUUUAAACAGUCUGUAGUUCACUCUCCUGAAGUUCAGGUUCCUUAAGCCACACUCUGCAAGGCCCAUAUUCCUAGAGAUCAUAAACUCAGCCAGAAUAUGAUUGCUGCAGCCCAAGCUAACUAUGAUCUUAACCGCCUGUAUGAUCUCCUCUGCAUUAGCAAGCACCAGGUCUAGCAACACUUCACCUCUGGUCAGUCUGUCUAAUACCUGAACCAGAAAGCUGUCUUCAGUGGACUCCAGGAGUCUCCUAGGCUGCUUGCAGCUCACUGUGUUGCUUUCCCAGAAGAUAACUGAGUAGUUGAAAUCCCUAUCAGGAUGAAGGCCUGCAAUCAUGAUGCUUCCUGUAGCUAAAGCAAGAAGGCCUCAUCAACAAGAUCUCUGUGAUGAAGUAGCCUGUAGUAGACCCUGACCACAAGAUGUCCUUCAUUGGUCUGGUCCCUGAUUUUACCCACAGGCUCUCAACCUGUUCAUAACUGUUUCUUAGAGACAGCUCUUCACAAUCUAUCCACUUUUUAAUAUAGAGGGCAACUCCCUCAUCCAUCCUACCUCACCUAUCCCUUCUAAAAAGCUCACAGCCCUCAGUCAUGGUAUUCCAAUCACAUGAAUCAUCCCACCAUGUUUCCAUGAUAGUAACAAGAUCAGAGUUUUCCAAUUGCACAGUGGUUUCUAGCUCCUCCUGCUUAUUUCCCAUGAUGCAUACAUUGGUAUAAGGGUACCUCAACAUCAUUUUCAGCCUCAUUACCUUCUUGGAGGAGACCUCCCAAAAACCUCUGGGAAAAAACUGAGAUUUUCCCCCACUGCUUCCUAAUGCAGCAGUGUUGCCUGACUCUUUUCUGUUCCUCAGCAGUACAUCCUCUUCCCCCAUCAAAUCUAGUUUAAAACCCUAGUGACAAGCCCUAUCAGCCUGCUACCCGUAUACAUCAUAAGAUGCAGCAGGCCGAGGGCCCCAACUAGGACCUUGUUGCUCUAACUUAGCUAUGCUAUCCCAAACAUUGCUGUGGGCAGGCUCACAGUUAUCUCCUUCCCCCUUCAAACCUGGUUUAAAGACCUGUCAAUGAGCCCAGACAAUCCUUAGGCCAGAAUUCUUUUCCCCCCUUUGCCUCAGGUGGACCUUGUCUGCAGCCAUCAGGCCAGGUGCCAAGUAAACCACUUCACAGUCAAAAAAAAAGCCAAAAUUUCUGAGGUGGUACUAGCCUCUUAGCCAUGUAUUUAUCACAUGGGUUUUUCUGGUCCUCUCAGUGCCUCUGUGCCACUGAAGGGAUAGAGUAAAACACCUCCUGUACUCCUGCUCUGCCCACUAACUGCCCCAGUCCCUCGAAGUUCCUUUUGAUAGCCCUUAGGCCUCUCUCUGUGACUUCAUCACCGCCAGCCUGAACUAAGCCUGAUGAAAAUCAGAUCACCUCUCCAGCUCUGACUGGGCCACUGCUGAGCUUAUGUGCUCAAGGGUUCCUUUUUCUUUUCUUAAACCUGAGCUCAGCAGUCUUGCACUGAAGUCUCCAAAGGAAAUGAAAAGAGGAAAAGGGAGAAAUCAGAGUGAAAUUUUGGUUAGGUUUAUUGAUAGAAAUAUCAUGAGUGCUUUUUUAGUUUUCUGAUAAAUUGACUUGUCAUGUUCCCCACAGAAAGGAAUCAGUAAGGCAGUCAUGCAAUAUAGACAGUGAAGUAGUGCAGAAACACUUGCUGGUACACUGAAUUAUGUAUCUGGCCAGAAGACAGCUAGGUAUGGCAGUCAGAGAUGUGUAAGCAUCAAUAUCUUUAUGCUAGUGUCAUAUUGUGAUAAAUAGAUUAACCAAGUUAUCUUCAAAUAUUCUCUUGAGAGCUCUAUAAU
ensembl:lncRNA